GAGCGUAGGGAUGUAACGAUUACCGGUUAAAAUGAUAAACCGCAGUAAAAUGUCUGACGGUUAGUACUCCCGUUUCAAAUUUUAAUUACCGUUAAACCGUGUCUGAUUGCCACAAUCCGGAAAAUCUCAGGAAUAGGCCUACUGCUGUUGUGAGAAGUGCAGCGGCAGGCAGCCGAUCGGAUACAUGCGCCCCGCGCGCAUGCGCACUGCACAGUAAACAACUCGUAAAUAUGGCGGAGGACACUGGCAGGGGAGAGAUUUUUUCACCGUCCAAACGUACCAAGUCCGAAGUCUGGGCGUACUUCGGAUUUUAUAAAGACGCGCGAGGGAGACUGGUGGAAGAAAGCAACCCAGUCUGCCGAAAAUGCCACAAGAAAAUAUCGGCAAAGAGUGGAAACACGUCCAACAUUCUGGCUCAUCUACGGGACCCGCAACUGUGCAGCAAGUUAAAGAGAGGGUGUGUAGUGGACAGAACCAGGACAAAUCCUCCAACAGCUUCUACUUCUUCGGUCACAGUGGCACAAACAAUAACCCAGGCGUUUGAAAGGAAGGCUGCUUAUGCACCGACAUUGAAACAUGCCAAAGACCUCACAGCAGCUAUCUCAUAUUUUAUUGCAAAAGACAUGAUGCCAUUUCAAACUGUUGAGAGGCCUGGAUUUUUGAAGCUGAUGAAGGUUGCUGUGCCUCACUAUAAAGUUCCUUCAUGAAAUCAUUUUUACUUUGUUUUAUAUAGUAGUGUUAUUGUAUAUUAUAUUAUAUUUGUAAGACUAGAUCUUUCUGAGCACUGAAUGUGAAGAUAGUUACAAUUUGCACAAUAUAAAGAAUGUAAUUUUAUUUUAAUUUUAUUUAUUUGUUAAUCUUUAUGAGGCAGUGGCACCUUACUUUUUUUGUUGUACUUUGUUAUUCCUAAUGUUGCUUUCAAGCAAACGGACUACCUCCUGGCUCUUUUAAGGUCCCCUCUUUAAUUUUUUAAGCUUUUUAAUAUGUUAUUUAAGGUUUAAGCUCAUAUUUUGAUUGGUUUUUCUAAAAUAAAAACGUUGUUCAUUGA